rnacentral:lncRNA from 1 species
CUUCCUCUCUCCAGGCUCACCCUGCAGGAAUCCCAGUGAAUAUAUUGCCACCAUCUUGGAGCUCAGUGCCCUCUUAGUGUAAUGGCACCAGCAGAUCUGCCUGUGCACGGACUUCCUGUACUACCUCACUCCUGAGGGGAGAUGCUUCUGCAGGGCCUAUGACCUGGUGCACAACUUUAGACACCAUCAUCCUGGAGCAGCACCUCACCCUCACUUGCCGGGGUGUUGAUGACUUCCUCAAGGCUAAGGCCACAUUCAAGAUUUUGGACUUCAGUGAUGCAUUUUUCUUGCCUCCAGGAUGAAAAUGAGAAGGAGUUGUCAGACAAGAACAUAUAAAUGAAGGCUGGCAUUCAGGAUAUGACAGCACAGCCAGUGGCCUCUACUGGAUCCUGUACAACCUCAGAAGACACCUAGACACUGGGAGUGCUGCCACCACGUGGUGCAAGAGUUCUGAGGGACCGCAAUUCUGAAGACAUUGAAUGGUGGGUGCCAGGCCUCGUGGCU